CUCCAGACUCCUACGGGAGGCAGCAGUGGGGGAUAUUGCACAAUGGGGGGAACCCUGAUGCAGCGACGCCGCGUGGGUGAAGAAGCGCCUCGGCGCGUAAAGCCCUGUCAGCAGGGAAGAGAGUGACGGUACCUGAGUAAGAAGCCCCGGCUAACUACGUGCCAGCAGCCGCGGUAAUACGUAGGGGGCAAGCGUUAUCCGGAUUUACUGGGUGUAAAGGGAGCGUAGACGGCGAAGAAAGUCUGGAGUGAAAGCCCGCGGCUUAACCGCGGAACUGCUUUGGAAACUUUUUGGCUGGAGUACCGGAGAGGUAAGCGGAAUUCCUAGUGUAGCGGUGAAAUGCGUAGAUAUUAGGAGGAACACCAGUGGCGAAGGCGGCUUACUGGACGGUAACUGACGUUGAGGCUCGAAGGCGUGGGGAGCAAACAGGAUUAGAUACCCUUGUA
rnacentral:rRNA from 1 species